rnacentral:rRNA from 1 species
UACGUAGGGGGCAAGCGUUGUCCGGAAUCAUUGGGCGUAAAGAGCGCGUAGGCGGCUAGAUAAGUCCGGUGUGAAAGUCACAGGCUCAACCUGUGAAUGCCGCUGGAAACUGUCUGGCUAGAGUCCGGAAGGGGCGAGUGGAAUUCCUGGUGUAGCGGUGAAAUGCGCAGAUAUCAGGAGGAACACCAAUUGCGAAGGCAGCUUACUACAGGGACAUUGACACUGAGGCACGAAAGCGUGGGGAUCAAACAGG